UGUGCGUACCUUGCAAGGUCCUUAUGCCAGUUAGACAGUUUUCACUUGACCUCGACCUCAUUUCAUGAAUCAGUGAACAAGGUUAAGUUUUGGUGGUCAAGUCCAUAUCUCAGUUACUAUGAGCAAUAGGUCUAGUAUAUUCGGUGUAUGGAAGGACUUGCAGGUGUCAUCUGACCUUGACCUCAUUUUCAUGGUUCAGUGGUUAUAGUUAAGUUUUUGUGUUUUUGUCUGUUUUGCUUAUACUGUAUGCAAUUGGUCUACUAUAUUUGGUGUAUGGAAUUAUUGUAAGGUGUACAUGUCUAGCUGGUAGAUGUCAUCUGACCUUGACCUUAUUUUCAUGGUUCAGUGGUCAAAGUUACGUUUUUGAGUUUUGGUCUAUUUUUCUAAUACAAUAAGCAAUAGGCCAACUAUAGUUGGUGUAUGUAAAUAAUUUAUGAUCAUAUGUCAGUCGCACAGAUUUUAUUUGACCUUGACUUCAUUCUCACAGUUUAUUGUUCAUGAUCAGUGUUAAGUUUUUGUGUUUUGGUCUGCUUUUCUUAAACUAUAAGCUAUAGGUCAACUAUAUUUGUUGUAUGGAAGAAUUGUUAGCUGUACAUGUCUGCCUGGCAUGGUUUAUCAUGUUUAUCUGACCUUGACAUCAUUUUCAUGGUUCAUUGAUCAUGCAAUGUUUGCUUUUCUUGGUUAAUGUUAAGUUUAUGUGACAGUUGUAAUAAAGCUUUACAUUUAGGACUAUCAACAUAAAAUCAAUGAUUAGUAAAGAAGGCGAGACAUUUCAGUGUGUGCACUCUUUUUGAAAGAUUAUCACAAUUUAAAUUCAGAGGUGUUUUAAGUUCAAAUGUUGUGUCUAUACUUGCUCAACUGUUCAGGGUUUGACCUCUGCACGAAAAUGCGGUUUGCGGUCUCUCUGACAGCCUCUUGUUAAUUCUGCAAUACAUUCCUUAGAAAAAUUUGGUGAAGCUUCAAUUAGGUCCUGUAAAUGCUGAAACCCAAUUUGUAUAACUCUCAUACUGCUAUUCUACAUUUGGGUUAGCCAAUACGGAUUGUUUGUAAGGAUCAUGCAUGCAUGUCCAUCUUACAUACAUGUAUGUCCAUCCUACAUACAUGUUAUUUGACCUUGACAUCAUUUUCCACACUCAGUAAGGUAAAUGUAGAAUUGUCAGCACCUAUAGUGUAUGCAUGAAAGCUCAACAAUAUUUGGUGUGUUGAUUUGUUUUAAGAGUCUGUCAAAUUAUAUUGGAAUGUGAUCCAAAUAAGGACCCUGCAGUUGUUCAGUGGUUUUCGUUGUUGUUUUGAUUUAUAUAUACCUAUCUAUAUUUAUAUUAGACAGUUGGUGUUCCUGUUUGAAUUGUUUUACACUAGUCCAUUUUGGGCCCUUUAUAACUUGCUAUUCAGUGUGAACCAAGGCUCUGUGUUGAAGGCUAUACUUUGACCUGUAAUUGUCUACACUAGUCCAUUUGGGGCCCUUUAUAAAUUGCUAUUCAGUGUGAACCAAUGCUCUAUGUUGAAGGCUAUACUUUGACCUGUAAUUGUCUACACUAGUCCAUUUU
rnacentral:lncRNA from 1 species